AACACAACAAAAAAAGAAAAAAGUUGUUGUGGAGGAUUCACCUCCUGAAGAAGAUCAAUACUUUGACGGUGAGAGAUAUGAAAUAUCAAGUGACGAACUCGAUGAAUGGCUAAGGGAAAACGUUGAUAAAUCUGCUGCAGAGGGGGAGAACCAAGCUGACCUGCGAUCGACAGAAGGUCGCUAUGUGUCCUCUGAAACAUAAGA